rnacentral:lncRNA from 1 species
AUGGAUAGCGGACACUUGCCAACUUCUACCUUUUAAUCUUGGCAAGAAGGAGUGUUGGCCAAAGGGCCAGCUUAUUAUUCAGCCUUUUAGGCCAAGUAUUUAUUCAAAGUAUUACGUGAUCAGAAUUAAACGCAAACCCUUGUUGUGUUUGUCUUCUCCACAUCUGCUUCCUCAAGGAUGGCUAAGUUUAAGUUGUUGGUGCUCCGAGUCACUAAUGAGGAGACUCACGGGGCUCCUUUUGUCCUUGCUCCUAAGGGGUCUGAGGGGUGCUGUAAAACCUUGUGGCCAUUGUCCCCAGCAUGAACCAGGGGACUGGAACCUUGGAAUAUCCUGGGGCUGCUGGCCACUCCCCACCCACCACAGAGGGUCUCUCUGGGACUCAGCCCAGGAAGAGGUGUCUGACGCAGUGGCUCCCUGAUCACACAAGGGUGACGAACUUCUGAAGGAUCCCGUGAGAGCCAGCCCCCCCACCCCCAGAAAAUCCACAAAACGCAGAGACAUGUUAAGUCCUGCAUGUGGUUUCAGGCCCUCCCAUGGCUUCAGACUGACCAUGAGCAGUAAGGAAGGUGCCGUUGGCUUGAUGGUGACUUUGUAGCCUUGGUAUCAAGGUCUAACCAGGGAGACCGUGGCCUCUACACAUGGUAUCAAGAGACACACUGCAGAGGCCUGGCUGCUGUGAGCCUGGGGCCUGGCCCGGCAAGCUCUCGGGAAGGGCAGGAGUGGAGUCGCUAUCUGUGGUGGGAUUCCUCAUAUGGGCAGGCAUCCGCACGGCCUUUAAGGCCUUUCAACUGAUUGAACCAGGCUCACCUGGAUUACAGAGGGCAGAAACCAUGGGUGCUAGGCAGUUUUCUGUCACUGUGGCAAAGUACCUGAGAUCAUCAACUUUGGGAGGAGAGGCUGACCCUGGUCAGGGCUUCAGAUGUUUCGGGCCCUAGCUGCCUGGCACGGCCAGCUUGGGCCUGAAGUAGCACAGUACAUCAUGGUGGGAGAGUAAGGCAGAGGAGGGCGGCUCUCCUCAGGGUGCCUGGGGGCAAAGAGAGAGGCAGGAAGCAGGUGGGGUCAGUAUGUCCCCCCCAGGGCACGCCCCGUGACCUCCCACAGCCUCCACAGCCUCCAGCUGGAGGCUCCCACAGCCUCUGGCUCCUACAGGAUCCUCCCCGUCCCAGAGCACCACAGGCUGUGACCCGGCCCUAAACACGUGGGCCUUGGGGACUUCCAGAUCUGUGGAUUACCUUCAUAGCCACACUCAGGUUAGAGUUGGGGUCACGGCUGUAGCUGGGCCACCCUGACCCACAAGACCCGCCCCAGCCACGGUGGCAUCAUACUUAGUAGGACAACAUCUUUGUUCCUAGAAGAUGCAGGUUGGUGAGAUAUUUAAGGUGACAAGAUUGUUAGGGUCAUAGAAGAUCUCCUCCGUGGCUUCUCUCCUGUUCAGAUGAUCCCACUGAUAAAUGACCAGUAACCAAGGCCCUUCUUGAGGUGAGCAGAAACUGACUGGUACGGGAAAUGCUACCUGAGCAGCCAGGGGUUCUGUGUGGAGUUACAAGUAUACACCAGCUGGGCGACUGCGGGCAGACUGCUUGCCUACUCUGAGCCCGUUUCCUCACCUGGAAAUGGGGAUAAUCAGGCUUGCUUUACAUCUUAAUUGUUCAGAGGAAUAAAUUUGACCAUGGUUUGGAAAUGCCCUGUUCACAGAGAGCUGCCGAGGAGUUCAGCGCCCAGAUCUGAGCUCCGUGUCUCGCACAGGUAACACUGAUUGGCAGGUCCUCUAGUGGGUGGUGCGUUGGCGGUGUUUUCUUGUUGUUUAUUGGUGGUGUCUGAGACAAGGGUGGCAUCUCAGGCUUGAUGAGAGGGCAAAGGGCUUGCUAACCCCUUCAAACCUCUUCUUCCUCUUUGCAGGGGGACAAAAGCACUUUAAACAGCUGCUAUGAAGAUGUAAAAGGUCAGUGUGAAGGAAAUGGAGAGCAGCCCCCAGGGAGAAAGGAGGACCGUGGAUGCGGGCGAAGGCAUCUCUGGACUUCCACUAUUUCCCAGCAACAACUAACUGCUCCCCCUGACGGCCCAACCCAAGAUGCAGUCUGCUGUGAUUAAGGUCUCACUUAGACCCUAUAAAAAAU